rnacentral:rRNA from 1 species
AGCCCCUCUUCGGAGGUGCAUAAAGUGGCGCACGGGUGAGUAACACGUAAGUAAUCUACCUUCGAGUGGGGAAUAACGUUCGGAAACGAACGCUAAUACCGCAUAAUGCAGCGGCAUCGCAAGAUGACAGUUGUUAAAGAUUUAUCGCUUGAAGAGGAGCUUGCGGCAGAUUAGCUAGUUGGUAAGGUAACGGCUUACCAAGGCGACGAUCUGUAUCCGGUCUAAGAGGACGGUCGGACACACUGACACUGAAUAACGGGUCAGACUCCUACGGGAGGCAGCAGUCGGGAAUUUUGGGCAAUGGGCGAAAGCCUGACCCAGCAACGCCGCGUGAAGGAUGAAGUUUUUCGGAAUGUAAACUUCGUAAGAAUAGGAAGAAUAAAUGACGGUACUAUUUGUAAGGUCCGGCUAACUACGUGCCAGCAGCCGCGGUAAUACGUAGGGACCAAGCGUUGUUCGGAUUUACUGGGCGUAAAGGGCGCGUAGGCGGCAAUUCAAGUCAGCUGUGAAAUCUCCGGGCUUAACUCGGAACGGUCAGCUGAUACUGCUUUGCUAGAGUGCAGAAGGGGCAAUCGGAAUUCUUGGUGUAGCGGUGAAAUGCGUAGAUAUCAAGAGGAACACCUGAGGUGAAGACNGGUU